UACAGAGGUCUCAACCGUUGUUCGGAUUCAUUGGGCGUAAAGAGCUCGUAGGCGGUUUGUUGCGUCGGCUGUGAAAUCCCGAGGCUCAACCUCGGGUCUGCAGUCGAUACGAGCAAACUAGAGUGUUGCAGGGGAGACUGGAAUUCCUGGUGUAGCGGUGAAAUGCGCAGAUAUCAGGAGGAACACCGGUGGCGAAGGCGGGUCUCUGGGCAACAACUGACGCUGAGGAGCGAAAGCGUGGGGAGCGAACGGG
rnacentral:rRNA from 1 species